GGCUCCCAGCGUGCACUGCGCUCGAGCGCGGUCCCCCGGACUGACGGCCAGCCCUGCGGAUGGACGGGCCGUGUGCCCUGUCGCCCUGCGCCUGCUGAACUCCGAGCACCCGAGGAUGUCUGCGCUGAGGAAGGUCUGUAUGAGCUGUUGGCUGUUGUGCAGGCCGGCUGGGGCCACGUGUGGACAGCCAGGAAGACCUGACCUUCCUCUGGGAUAUGUUUGGUGAGAAAAGCCUGCAUUCACCGGUAAAGAAGUUACUCGUCGAGCACCAUUUUCCUUUAGAUCUUCACAAUAUCCUGGGUAGCCUUAUGUU